UGACUCCGCCCCAGUAGCUACUUCCGUUGGGAGACUUCCGCCUUGGGAGACUCGAUCUUUAGCCGAGUGGUGUGACUGUGGCGGAGACCUUCGCCCCACCUGCAGAAAUUGUGUAAUUUUGAGGUAUGACUACUAGAAAAUGUUCUACAUACCAUAUGUGGCUUGCAUUACAUUUCUAGUGGACAGUGCUGAUUUACAAGGACUCGGCAGCAUUGUCCAUCAUUUGUGUGAGUGCUUCUGCAUUACUCCCUGUAGAUGAGGAAGAUGAGGUGCCAGAGAGGUAAAAGGUUUUUCAGUCAUCUUUUGAUGGCAAAUGGAAGAAAAGAGGGAGUAAGAACUGAAGGAGCAUCUACAACUAACCCA